AUACGGAGGGAACUAGCGUUGUUGGGAAUUACUGGGCGUAAAGAGUUCGUAGGCGGAUAAGCAAGUAAGAGGUGAAAGCCCAGGGCUCAACCCUGGAACUGCCUUUUAAACUGCUUAUCUAGAGACCGGUAGAGGUUAGGGGAAUACCUAGUGUAGAGGUGAAAUUCGUAGAUAUUAGGUGGAACACCAGUGGCGAAGGCGCCUAACUGGACCGGUACUGACGCUGAGGAACGAAAGCGUGGGGAGCAAACAGGAUUAGAAACCCUAGUAGUCC
rnacentral:rRNA from 1 species